rnacentral:rRNA from 1 species
GAUGAACGCUGGCGGCGUGCCUAAUACAUGCAAGUCGAGCGAACAGACGAGGAGCUUGCUCCUCUGACGUUAGCGGCGGACGGGUGAGUAACACGUGGAUAACCUACCUAUAAGACUGGGAUAAUUUCGGGAAACCGGAGCUAAUACCGGAUAAUAUAUUGAACCGCAUGGUUCAAUAGUGAAAGACGGUUUUGCUGUAACUUAUAGAUGGAUCCGCGCCGCAUUAGCUAGUUGGUAAGGUAACGGCUUACCAAGGCGACGAUGCGUAGCCGACCUGAGAGGGUGAUCGGCCACACUAGAACUGAGACGCGGUCCAGACUCCUGCGAGAGGCAGCAGAAGGGAAUCUUCCGCAAUGGGCGAAAGCCUGACGGAGCAACGCCGCGUGAGUGAUGAAGGUCUUCGGAUCGUAAAACUCUGUUAUUAGGGAAGAACAAAUGUGUAAGUAACUAUGCACGUCUUGACGGUACCUAAUCAGAAAGCCACGGCUAACUACGUG